rnacentral:lncRNA from 1 species
AGAACCAUAAACUCUCGAAAGCCCAAGUUAUCGAAAACCCGAACGCAAGCGAACGGUAGACCGAAUGGUCCCGAUUGGAAGUUAUCGAAUCUCGGCGGGGAGACCAUAAACUCUCGAAAGCCCAAGUUAUCGAAAACCCGAACGCAAGCGAACGGUAAACCGAAUGGUCCCGAUUAGAAGUUAUCGAAUCUCGGCUCCUCCCCUCGUUAUUUGUAUUUUAAAUUGUAAACAAAAGUCAACGCAAUUUGUUUUUGGUGGAAAUAUACACUAAAAUACUUUAAAAUGUAAAGUUAUCUUGCAAAAUUAGAACCUGAAAGCCUAGAAAUGCGGAAUCGGUACAAACCAAAAAUUUAACUUGUGAAUAACAUAGAAAAUAGAAGUCCUUAGUUUUGAUAUUUAUUUUAAAUGCUAGCCCAGACUGCCCAGUGGAGUUUUCAAAGAUAUAAGAAACACGGAAAUUAUUAGUAGUGUUCACCAUGAAUUCUUACAAAUUUCCAGAAAUUGAAAGGAAAUAGGAGGCGUGUGUUAAGCAAGAUUUUGUAGUGAUAUGGAAGCCUAAAGUUGCAGGCCAUAUCCUUAUCAAAGCAAAAAGUCAAAAAUCUACAGCGUAUGAAUAGUAUGUAAACCUGAAGCCUGCAGCUCAGAUUGUGUUAGAAAGGGUUUCAACAUCAAACUAUACUGAACUCUAACCCUGAAAAUGUUAAUACAAAUCCAAAGCAAUUAUCAGCAUGGCAGGAAAAUUAAAAGCAAAAGUUUCAUUGAAAUUAUAUUGUUUAUAAAUCAGGAUCAAAAUUACAUUAUUUCACUUUGAAAAUAGGACCGGGUAAAGAAUAUUCAUAAUGCGGAGCUUAACCAGUUGAUAUAGUUAGUGUAGUUAUUGUGAUAGAGUAAAUGUGUUGAAUUAAAAUACUUAUUUCUGCAGAAAAACGUGAGCCUAGCUUAAAGGAUACUGUAUAAAUUUCUAAUGUUUUUUUUAUAACUGAUGUUUACCUACUUUUUGUGUUACAUCAUGUGGCGUUAAAAUAUUUUUUUUGGAAUACUUAUAUUAAAUUCUUUUAAAAAUCG